GCACAAUAUGAAAUAGAACACGAAUGAUAUUUAAAAAAAAAAGAAAAAAAAAAGAAAACACUUUUUUUCGAAUUGUAUGACUUAGCUAAUUUGUGUCAAAUGAUCUGAGUGCUUUACAUCUCUAUCUUUAAAGUGAUUUAUAUGAAGGGUUAUCCAAUUUUUAGGUCCAAUACCAUCCACCAUUGGAAAUCUAUCAAAUUUGUGGGUGCUAGACCUAUCUUCCAACAAAUUAAAUGGUGAGCUUCCAUUCUCCAUGUGCAACAUGACAUCCCUUCAAAUUCUUAUUUUCUCGAAUAACAGUUUGGAAAUCUUUGGACAUAUUUCAUCUAAAUGCAAAUCACUUUAGUGGCCCCAUUCCAUCAAUAUUUAUGAGAUGGUGAAUUUUUUAGUCUAACAAUUUGAGUAUUAAUAAAUUGCAAGGAAAUUUGUCUAUACGUGUGUUCAUAUAAGAUAUGCGAUUUUUCUAAUUCCCUUGUCACUCCAUGUGCAAUAUGAAAUAGAUUUAUAUAUAAAAAAAGUUGCGCAAUAUAUUUUCUCGAUAAAAGAAAAAGGAAAACAUACUCUAAUAUUUUGAAAAAUAAUUGGAGCAAUGUAAUCUCUUUUUCACAUGGAUAAUAGAGUGACUUAUUUAGAACUCUAGCUGGGGUGUGACUUGUGAGACUCGAAGGCAGCACAUCCCACUAGAAAUUGGAAAUCUGUCUUCACUUGUUUAUCUUGAUAUAAAUGGAAACUCUUUUCAUGGUACUAUUUCCUCUAUCUAUUUUUAAUUUGUUGUUAAUAGAAUAUAUUUAUUUAUAUGGUAAUCCUAUCAGCUCGUGUGAUAUCCCGACUUUUCUAUAAGAAAUAUAGAAGAUCUUUACUUAGUUUAUUAUUGGGAAUCUAUCCAAUUUGUCGUUGCUAUGGCUAUCUUCCAACAAAUUAAAUGGUGAGCUUCCAUUCUCCAUCUGCAACUUGAUAUAACUUCUUUACAAACUUGAUCGGAUCUUUGGCCAUUUUUGUUUAAACUAGUCUUUCUAAUAUUUUACAUUUGUUAAGAUAAGAUUUGUCUAAUUCCUUUGCCAAUGCAUGCACAAUAUGAAAUAGAACACGAAUGAUAUGUAAAAAAAAAAAAGAAAAAAAUAGAAAACACUUUUUUUCGAAUUGUAUGACUUAGCUAAUUUGUGUCAAAAGAUCUUAGUGCUUUACAUCUCUAUCUUUAAAGUGAUUUAUAUGAAGGGUUAUCCAAUUUUUAGGUCCAAUACCAUCCACCAUUGGGAAUCUAUCAAAUUUGUACCGGCUAGUCCUCGCUUCCAACAAAUUAAAUGGUGAGCUUCCAUUCUCCAUGUGCAACAUGACAUCCCUUCAAAUUCUUAUUUUCUCAAAUAACAGUUUGGAAAUCUUUGGACAUAUUUCAUCUAAAUGCAAAUCACUUUAGUGGCCGCAUUCCAUCAAUAUUUAUGAGAGGGUGUAUUUUUUAGUCUAACAAUUUGAGUGUUAAUAAAUCGCAAGAAAAUUUGCCUAUACAUGUGUUCAUACUAAUAACGAUUUUUCAUUUUUUCCAAUAGUGAUUCAAAUCACUAAUCUAUUAAUUGGAAGUGGAGAACUUUAACAAUUGAGUCACGCUUCGUUAUGAAAUUAAUUAUAUACUUAUAACUUUGCAUGACUAUAUAUGACUUUGAAUUGAUUAGAUAUAAGUUCUUGCACUAAUCUAUUAUUAUUAUUAUUAUUAUUAUUUAUUAUUAUUAUUAUUAUUAUUAUUAUUUAUUAUUAUUAUUAUUAUUAUUAUUAUUAUUAUUAUUAUUAUUAUUAUUAUUAUUAUUAUUAUUAUUAUUUCUCUCUCUUUUUCUAUACUUUACUCGGUUUACAUCAAUCUAAUUAAAUGGAAUUUUUUACAAAUUAGCCCAUAUGACAAUAUAUGUUCACUUUCAUAUAAUUAGAAAAAGCACACCACUAACUAAUUUUCUAAUACUAAUUAUGAUUUUAGAUUGGCUAGAUUAACUAUAUAUGACUCUGCAUUGAAUAGGUUAGAUAUAAAUUCUUGUACAUUAUUUGAUAAUAAAAAAAUGACUUUUAAAUUUUAUUUUAACAACUGAAAAUCAAUUUGUAAAUAUCAGAGGCCCCACUUAAUUGAACCAUUGCCAAGACUAAAUUGAACCGAGUCAAAAUUAUUUGGAUUGAACAAUUACCAUUUAAUAUUCACCAAAUAAUGUAUUCAAAUUGACAAAAACGAACCAUUAAAUAUAGUGUUCUAAUACUUAUUUAUUUUGUGGUCAUGUUAUAAUAAUCAAAUCAAUUAUUUUACGACUUGGCAAUUUUGGAGGUGAUAUUCCAAAAGCGAGAUUGAUUAUGUAUAUCUUGGGAAUAAGAAAUUCCACAAUGCUAUGAAAACUUUAGCAAAUCUUUGGCCAUCUUUCGUUCAAUUAUAAAUCAGUUUAGUGGUAAAAAAUGAGAUAUAUGGAAAAUUACAUAAAUUAUCUGUCGUCCAUUUCCUAAUUUGUUGGUUUUAGAUUACAUUUGUUGAAAAGAUAUUUCAAAUUAUCUGCCAAAGUAAAUGGUGAGCUUCCACUCCAUUUACAACUCGACAUCCCUUGCUAUCUGCAAUUUGGCAGAAACGCUUGCAAAACUUGAUCAGAUCUUUAGCUUAUUUUGUUUACUUAGCUUGCUGGCUUCUUCUCAUAUAACUAAUUUAUGCUUAGUUAGAUAAAUACUCUAACAGCAGUUGGAUUUUCUGUUUCCAGCCAUAUUGGAUCUUCAAUUUUCUCAAUGUUAGAUGAUUUGUUAAAUUAUGAUGUCAUCAAGUAUACUUGGUGUGUCAUCGUGAUACAGGGAAAUAUAAGAUUUGUAACAAAAUAUCUUGUGUGCAUUGCUAAUUGAUUUAUACUUUAAAGGCAUUUAGCAAAUAAUAAAGUUUGAGCGUAUGUUUUCAAGUACAAAAAAAAAUGUCUUUCUUACUAUCCUCCAUCUUUAAAGUGAUUGAAAUGAAGGGUUCUUCAAUUUUUAGGUCCAAUACCAUCCACCAUUGGAAAUCUAACAAAUUUGUACUGGCUAGAACUCUCUUCCAACAAAUUAAAUGGUGAGCUUCCAUUCUUUAUCUGCAACUUGACAUAAUAACUUUUUUACAAACUUCGUCGGAUCUUUUCGCCAUUUUUGUUUGAACUAGUCUUUUUAAAAUUUUACAUUUGGUAAGAUAAGAUAUGCGAUUUGUCUAAUUCCGUUGGCAAUGCAUGCACAAUAUGAAAUAAAACACGAAUGAUAUUAAUAAUAAAAGAAAAACAUAGAAAACACUUUUUUUUCGAAUUGUAUGACUUAGCUAAUUUGUGUCAAAAGAUCCGAGUGCUUUACAUCUCGAUCUUUAAAGUGAUUUAUAUGAAGGGUUAUCCAAUUUUCAGGUCCAAUACCAUCCACCAUUGGGAAUAUAUCAAAUUUGGACUAGCUAGACAUCUCUUCCAACAAAUUAAAUGGUGAGCUUCCAUUCUCCAUGUGCAACAUGACAUCCCUUCAAAUUCUU
rnacentral:lncRNA from 1 species